CUUCACUACCGCACAGGUAGCUUAGAAA
rnacentral:other from 17 species